UUUCAGAUCCUUCAACACUAAAUUUAACUCUUUUUCUGUGUUACCUGGCUGUCUUCCCUCCCCUACAGCCUUGCCAGUCAGGGCAAGCACAGGUUAGGGAACCAAGCCGAUUCUUAGCGAGUGUUUACUGAAAGAUUGUCCAGCGCAGGUCAGUGACGUCACAUCCGACAUCCGGUGGUGUCUUCCAACGUCGCUCUGAGGGAGGUUCACAAACAGGGUUUCAGCCUUUAAGCUAGAGUUUGUAACUGCUGUUGACCUCCUUCUUUGCAAAGGCCCAGAGCACCAGUUUAGAGUUCUGAGCCUUGGGUCUCCAACCGCAGGGCCCGCCCCAGCGUGGAACUCUGUGCGAGGGGAGCGCGGGCGCUGGCCGGACACAGACGCGAGCGCAGGAGAGGCCAGCUAAUACUCCUCGGCGUUUCCUUCGGAGCUCUCGCGAGAGGAGCCAAGGGAAGAUGGCUGCGCCGGGUCUUUCCGAGUGAGGAGGCGGCGGCGGCGCCCCGCGUCGUGUGGUCGCGGGCUCUUGAGCUGCGGCUUUCCUCGUCUGAGACGAGGGCCGCCGCCUCCGGGAGAUGCGCGUGUCGCGGACCCGCGGUCGCCCCAGGAGUUCAUGCUGCGUGCGAGGCUCGCGGCCGCCGCU
rnacentral:lncRNA from 1 species